AUUGAACGCUGGCGGCAGGCCUAACACAUGCAAGUCGAGCGAGCGGCGGACGGGUGAGUAAUGUCUGGGAAACUGCCUGAUGGAGGGGGAUAACUACUGGAAACGGUAGCUAAUACCGCAUACCAUCAGAUGUGCCCAGAUGGGCUUAGCUAGUAGGUGGGGUAAUGGAUCACCUAGGCGACGAUCCCUAGCUGGUCUGAGAGGAUGACCAGCCACACUGGAACUGAGAAACGGUCCAGACUCCUACGGGAGGCAGCAGUGGGGAAUAUUGCACAAUGGGCGCAAGCCUGAUGCAGCCAUGCCGCGGUUGUGAAGAAGGCCUUCGGGUUGUAAAGCACUUUCAGCGGGGAGGCGUUACCCGCAGAAGAAGCACCGGCUAACUCCGUGCCAGCCGCCGCGGUAAUAC
rnacentral:rRNA from 1 species